rnacentral:rRNA from 1 species
CAGCCGCCACGGUAAUACGAAGGGUGCAAGCGUUAAUCGGAAUUACUGGGCGUAAAGCGUGCGUAGGCGGUGAGUUAAGUCUGCUGUGAAAUCCCCGGGCUCAACCUGGGAAUGGCAGUGGAUACUGGCUCGCUAGAGUGUGUCAGAGGAUGGUGGAAUUCCCGGUGUAGCGGUGAAAUGCGUAGAGAUCGGGAGGAACAUCAGUGGCGAAGGCGGCCAUCUGGGACAACACUGACACUGAGGCACGAAAGCGUGGGGAGCAAACAGGAUUAGAUACCCGAGUAGUCCCUGUCUCUUAUAC